UGCAUCGGCCGUGAAUCGAACCCUGGCCGCCCGCGUGGCAGGCGAGCAUUCUACGACUGAACCACCGAUGC
rnacentral:tRNA from 1 species